rnacentral:misc_RNA from 1 species
UUUCUAUCCAUGAAAUUACCCAUUUCUAUUUAGCUUAAGCCCAUUGAAAAUUGUUUAGCUUAAACCCAACAAUUACCUAAUUAAGGGAUUGGAUCAGUCAAUCAUGAAUAGUAAAUUUGAGAAUAUCUCUGUUUUUUCCAUUUUUCAGAAAUAUCUCAGUCCACCCGCCGUGGAAACACGCUCCUGCCUCGCCAUACUUUGGUAACUUCUCUCUCUAUCUCUCCUCUUUGUUCUUUUCCUCCAGUUUUCUAGUGUAAGGAUUAUUAUGGGUUCAAUUUGUUUGCGUAUAUUUGUUUUCUGACGAAAGUUUUGUACGAUUUGCUAUGGGUAGAUGAAGAUUUGUUCUUGGGAUGGUUAAUGUGAACAAAAUCAAUGAGGUUCUUGCUAUUUGGAAAGAUAUUAUAUGUGAGGUUCAGCAGCACAUGAAUGAUCAAAAGGGUAUUGAGUAAAAGCUGCUACUGAUAAAUUCAUUUUCUUCUUCCAAAAUAGAUAUCCAUUGCAUAUUCUUAAGGAAAAAAGAAUAGAGACCCAACUUCUUCCUCCCCCAAACUGCAUGCUAGUGGUCUGCUUUAAUGUUAUUGAAGUUAUUCUGUCGUUUGUUUCUAUACCAUUUGUCAUCUGUUUCUUUUUCAUUAAUUUAUGGAUUAAAAUUAUCAUGCUGAUAUAGUUGUUCCUGUUUGUCUCUCCUGCUUUUGCUUCUGUGGGCUUUGAAAUCCCUGAAAGUGUUUUUAACCUUUCUUAAUUCAAUUCUUUUUGACUAAUUCAAUUGUUGAUUAAGUACUAUCUUGUUGUAGUUCUUUGACUAGUGAUAACAUUUACCUGCAAAUGAAGGGUAUAAAGGGCUCUUAAGUUCUAUUACAAGUGCAACAAAAAGAACUCUCACUUCAAAAGCAUUAGCAAUCAGUCUAGUGAGAGAAAAAGAAACUUUGGAGGGAAGAUCCAUUUACAUCUCCUUUUAUCACAUUUACGUUCAUCUAAUGGAUUGUCUGUUUGGGUUGGGAGGAAUUAUAACUUCUAUUUUGGCAGUGGUUUUUUGGUAUAUCUCUAGAGUAAAGAAGACAAGUUCGUCAGUAAAGAACUUAAGAGAUGGGAAUUUUUGAAGCGCUCCAGAACAAAAAUACGUUUUUCUAAUGUAGCAACAAAUACUGACAUAAUCAUUGUUGGUGCUGGUGUUACUGGUUUAGCUCUUGCUUACACGCUUGGGAAGGUACAGGUCCCUCUCCAUUGCUUUAAGUACCAGAGAUGAGUCUUUUAUGUCCAUGUUUUAUGCUACCAAUGGGAUUAUCAAAAACUUAAAAAAGUUAGAAAUGAAUAUAUUCCAAUUUAGUGCAGUAUGAUCCGCAACCUUCUUUUGCUACUUACCGCAGGAUGGCUGCCAAUUGUCUGUAAUUGAAAGAGACCUGACUGAACCUGAUAGAAUUGUUGGUGAACUCCUACAGCCUGGGUGCUAUCUAAAAUUGAUUGAGUUGGGUCUUGAGUUAUGGGAAACUCAUCAUAUACACUACAGAGUGCCUGGGGGCUAUCCAAAAUCUAUUUGAGUUGGGUCUUAAGGAGAUGCUCAACAAGUAUUUGGAUAUGCUAUUUACAAAGAUGGAAAAAGUAUUAACCUAUCUUGUCCUCUGCAAAGUUUUCAAUUGGAUGUAGCUGGAAGAAGUUUCCACAAUGGACGUUUCAUACAAAGAAUGUGUGAGAAGGCUGCAACUCUUGCCAAGUAAUCUGUCUUGUUAUGUAUAUUCUGCAUUCUAGUUCAAGAAAAUGAUAUUGAAGUUAAAAUGGAUAUGAAUUCAACAUUGUAGUUUGCAAAGCAUUUGCUAGUAUUAAUCAUAUAAUACAUCUCUUUUUAUUUUUUUUUCUUUUUCUUUUUUGCAAUUUUUUUUUCUUUCUUGAUCUUUUAUAUAGUGUAACAUUGGGGCAAGGGACAGUAAUAUCUCUCCUUGAAGAAAAGGGCACUAUUAAAGGGGUGUUGUACAAAACAGAAACUGGACAAGAAUUGAGAGCAUAUGCUCGCCUUACAAUAGUAUGUGAUGGUUGUUUUUCAAACCUACAGUGCUCGCUUUGCAAACCUAAGGUGAAGAAUCUGUUAGUUUAAUUUAACCAAGUUAAUUUAUUAAAGAAGCUUGAUCUUACGGUAUGAGUUCCAUGGGAAGAAAACUCAACUUCUCACUUUUCACACUAUAUGGUUUCCAAUUGAUAUUAACAGAGGUUAGAAACAAUUCAGCAGGUUGAUAUCCCUUCCUGUUUUGUUGCCUUGGUUCUAGAGAACUGUGAUCUUCCAUGUAAAAAUCAUGGACAUGAUGUUCUUGCCGAUCCUUCACCCAUUUUGUUUUAUCCAAUCAGUAGCACUGAGGUCUGUUGUUUAGUUGAUGUGCCUGGACAGAAGGUACCCUCCAUUUCCAAUGGUGAAAUGGCUCAAUAUUUGAGAACAGUGGCGGCUGAACAGGUAUUGAAUUUGGAAUCCACUUAACAUGAUUUUUAAUCAUUUUAUGUUGUAGCACUAAUUCAUUGCAAGCUCAUAUUUAUGAACAAAAAUGCUGAUAAAAAAAUUUUUGGAAUCCACUUAACAUGAUUUUUAAUCAUUUUAUGUUGUAGCACUAAUUCAUUGCAAGCUCAUAUUUAUGAACAAAAAUGCUGAUAAAAAAAUUUUUGGAUUUCUUGAUUUACAUCUUAAAAAAUCCAGGAAUAUUUUUUAUUUACAUUUUUUAGAAAAAUAUAAGACUUAAAUUAUCAAAUAGUUUAUUUCUUCAUAGAAUUUCACUGCUGUUUCCAUUGCAUUUAUCUUUGGUAGUUUUGUUCACUAGAACAAGAAUAUGUGAAAUGUUUAAUUGCGUUGGACAUCCCUUUACACAUUGUAGAAGUUUAUUACACACACAAGCAACAGAACUGCACAUAUCUGUAGAAAAAUAUGGUGUAUGAAUUCAGGAAACGGAAAUGAAAACAGGGGAGAGAGCAUUCUAUGGGGAAGUCUAAUUUUUCUUCAUUUUCAUUCAACAUAUACACUGGAUGUUAAUCUACAAAAUGCCUUUUGUUCAAGGACUAACAUGAUAACUAUCAUCCACACAUCAACACAAGUUAACGCAAGUUUAAAUUGUACUGGACAUGAGUUAGGUUUCUGUACUGAGUUGCAAUGCAUUAACCAUAACAUAUUAAUAUCUACUUCUCAUAGCUUUUUGGCAUUAAUCUUAUAACAGAUACCUUUUGAGCUGCAUGCUUCUUCAUAUCUGCAAUUGAAAAGGGAAAUGUACAAACAAUGCCAAACAAAAGCAUGCCAGCUUCUCCAUAUCCAACUCCCAUUGCAUUGUUGCUGGAUCUGCAUUCAACAUACGUCAUCCUUUAACGGGUGGAGGGAUGACUGAGGCUCUCUCUGACAUAGUUUUGUUAAGCAACCUUCUUAGACCUCUACACAAUCUUAAUGAUGCAGCUAAUUUCUGCAAGUACCUUGAGUCCUUCUAUACUCUCGGAAAGUUAAGCAGCAUUCAUGUGUAUCCUAUAUGAAACCUGUGCAUCUUUAGGUAUCCAGUUGCUUAUAGUUUUCAAAUAUGUGCAAAUUUGGUAAUGGCUUUGCAGCUUUCCAUGUGAGAAUAAAUUACCAUUUCUAUACUUGGAUUUGUAAUCAGAAUGGUUGUGAUCUGCAUAUGAAACAUAAAGCUCUUUGCACUGCUUAAGAAAUAAUAACUAAACAUAUGAUGCUUUACCAUUUUGGUGCAGCCAAUGGCAUCUACAAUAAAUACAUUGGUUAGUGCCCUUUCCAAGGUUUUCUCUACAUCAACUGAUCUUGCAAGAAAUGAAUUACGGCAAGCAUGUUUCGGCUAUUUGUGUUUUGGUGGUGCUUUUUCAAACGGAUCAAGUUUAGUCCUACAUUUCUUUGUUGUGGCUGUCUGUGGUGUUGGUCUCUUAAUACUUCCAUUUCCUUCACCUAAAAGCAUAUGGACUGGUGCUAAAUUGAUGAAGGCUGCAUCAAUUAUCAACUUUCCCAUAAUGAAGGCCAAAGGAGUUAGACGGGUAUUCUUCCUAGUAACCAUGCCAUCACAUCAUAGAGCUUAUCCUUGAUAUUCAACAUUUGAAAACAAGUAGCAUGACACUUUUGUAAGUUCUAGGAAAAAGUUUUGCAGUGUAUAUUGUGUAUCAAUAUUUUCGGAAUUUGACUCCGAAGAAGUAUUCAUUAAUUGUUGAAUUAUUCCAAUUUCAAAUGAUACAAGCUGAAAUUCAUUAUUCAGCGUUCUCGAUGUAGUAGACUGUUUAAUGUGUUGUGUAUGUUUGUUGCUGGAGUUGUAUUGAAAUCACUGUCCAUCAAAACUGAUCAUUGUAGCAAAUCAAAGCUUAAACGUUUUGCAAUAGUUAAUUGAAGCCAAA